CCUACGGGUGGCAGCAGUGGGGAAUAUUGCACAAUGGGGGAAACCCUGAUGCAGCGACGCCGCGUGAGUGAAGAAGUAAUUCGUUACGUAAAGCUCUAUCAGCAGGGAAGAAAUACUGACCUUACGGUCAGCAGACGGUACCUGAGUAAGAAGUCCAGGCUAACUACGGGCCAGCAGCCGCGGUAAUACGUAGGGGGCAAGCGUUAUCCGGAUUUACUGGGUGGAAAGGGAGCGUAGACGGUGCGCCAAGUCUGGAGUGAAAUGCCGCAGCUUAACUGCGGAACUGCUUUGGAAACUGGCGAACUAGAGUGCGGGAGGGGUAAGCGGAAUUCCUAGUGUAGCGGUGAAAUGCGUAGAUAUUAGGAGGAACACCGGUGGCGAAGGCGGCUUACUGGACCGUAACUGACGUUGAGGCUCGAAAGCGUGGGGAGCAAACAGGAUUAGAUACCCCAGUAGUC
rnacentral:rRNA from 1 species